ensembl:lncRNA
CAAAACUUAUGUCCUUGCAUCUUUUAGCUGGAAAGGAGUAAUGCCAAGUGGCAGACGCCGUGAAUGUUUCAGAACCGUGUUUUGGAAGGGGAAGCCUCAGCUUUCUCUUCAGGCCCUAAAUUGUGAUUAGGUGUUUGUAUUGACUUACAGGGAGAAGAAGUGAGUAAAAGAAGGAGAUGAGAAUUUACAGACUUCAGACUCGAGGAUCUUGAGCUCAUCCAUCAGUUACAGCCUCCAUCUAAACUGGGGAUGUGUGGAUGUGUAAGUAUGUCUGUGCACCUUUCUACAUCCUGUUCCUGGCAACACCCCGAUCGCAUUACUUCAAAGAAAGGCCAAUACUGAACCCAGACAAAACCUAUAACCCUGCCAGAAACCAACAGUGGCAGGGGGACGUAUCCUUCUUGCUUUCCAGAAACAACAACAGGAACCUGAUACAUAAGAUAAGGACAACACAAACAAACAGUGAUCCAGGCCCCAUUUUCAGCCCCUUGGGGACCUGAUGACACACAAGAUUUUUGUCUCCUUGGCAAUACAGCGUCAAGGCUUCCAGUUGAAUUUUUUUUCUCUGGCUGCUUAAUUUUAGAAAACUAUCAUAGGUUUUGAUGCUCAAUUAAUCAAUGCACUUCAUCAGUUUUCAUGGCCAACCUCUAAGCAACUGAACUAGUUCCAACGGAGGCUUUUAACAUGUAUAAUCUUUCUCCACUGUUCCCCUGGCCUCACCCUCC